AUUGAACGCUGGCGGCAGGCCUAACACAUGCAAGUCGAACGAGUGGCGGACGGGUUAGUAAUGUCUGGGAAACUGCCCGAUGGAGGGGGAUAACUACUGGAAACGGUAGCUAAUACCGCAUACUAACGGAUGUACCCAGAUGGGAUGUGUGAGUAGGUGGGGAAAUGGAUCACCUAGGCGAAGAUCCCUAUCUGGUCUGAGAGGAUGAACAGCCACUCUGGAACUGAGACACGGUCCAGACUCCUACGGGAGGCAGCAGUGGGGAAGAUUGCACAAUGGGCGCAAGCCUGAUGCAGCCAUGCCGCGUGAAUGAAGAAGGCCUUCGGGUUGUAAAGUACUUUCAGCGAGGAGGCGUUACUCGCAGAAGAAGCACCGGCUAACUCCGUGCCAGCCGCCGCGGUAAUAC
rnacentral:rRNA from 1 species